rnacentral:lncRNA from 1 species
UGGACGCAUGUGAUAAAAUGAACCGAGGGGCCUCCUUCUCCUCUCACACUGUCAGUCUGUGUGUAUCCAACAAAAGUGUAAACUAGUGAACCAAUAGGGCUAAAAUUGUUACUAGAAAAAGGGCAAGUGGCCGGAAAAGCCUACAGUUUAUUAUCUUAAUCUUUUAAAACUUUAGUGUAUUUAUAUACAACUUUUUUUCUGUAAAAGACUUUUUUAUAGAAAAAAGAUCAAUUUCCUGUGCUGUCCUAAUGACAAAAUAACCGCUUCCUCAUGCAUCUCUAUAGUUUGACUACCGUCGUUUCUGUAUACAAUUAGAGGAUUACCGUCUGUUUAGCAUGUAUAUUGUUUAAUCAUAUGGUGUGUCCAUCGUAUGUCCUACUCCUUGAGGUGUUUUGACCAAGGAGUAUGAAAUAGAAGGGAGAUACAACUGACGCGGUCUGAUGUACUAUUACCACGUAUAAAAUAACCUAUUCUGAAUGUUUCUUAUACAAAUGGAGUACCCGUCUGCAAAGCAUGUUUAAUCAUAUGGUGGGGCGGGCCGCGUCAGUUGUAUCUCCUAUCUAUUUCAUACUCUUUGGUAUUACAUCAGUGUAUUGUGUACUUUUCACAGGUGACAGGUGUACUGUAAUUGCAUCAUUACGUUAGCACUGCAGAAACAAAUAAACACUACUUUUAUAGUAUUGGAAUAUUGAAAGUUAUUUAUAAUAACCCUUUAUAAAUGUACAUUUUAGACAUGUGCCAAAAGUAGUAAAAAUGAAAAUAAAUGAUAAUAGUGAUAGAGUUGUUAUUCCCAUCGGGCUUCGUUGGAUCACGGGUGCCGGGUGGAAGAAACAGUACGAAGUGGAUUGUGGAAGUAGUACUUGAGGUUCAUAAUAAAGGAAAGGUAUGUUGUAAAUGCCAUACUUUUAAAACUUCAUCCCAAACUGUAUCAGUCCAGGUACAAUCUGUCCACUAUCAAAGUCAUCAAACAAGCUAUUGGCUAUCUAACAAGCCCUUAAUCGAUCUCUACUCAUCUAAAUGUGAUCUAAUCCCGAAUAUUACAACAAGGUUUACAAUUACUCUACACCGUAAGUUAAGUGGAGUUCUGAUUCUAAAUGAUCUCUAUUUACAAAUCUAUAUGGUAUAUGUUAAGUUCCAAUACGUAUUCACAAAAUUACGCAGGUGUAUAAUUUAAUCCCAUUACGUAGCUAGUCUACUCGCAUUACAAGUUUUACAUAGUUGAAGAUUAACGCAGUUAGAUCCUCAGACAAUGUACAACACAUUUUAUAUAGGAAUGUUCAAACAGCAUUUAUUACAGGAAGACGUAAUUGAGAGACGACAUUCAUUAACAGAUUGAUGGCAUGUCCAAGUAGUGUGUAGUACUCGUACUCCAUACUUGCGAAUUCAUGCGAGAAUGGAACGUGUUUCUUUUCCAGAUACAGAAACUAUUUUUUUUACUCUUGGAACUACUUUCAAUAGACCCUUAAUAAAGCUUGACCAUUUUUUAAAUAGAACUAAAUUGAAUAAAACUGAAUACAUGCUUAUAGAUACAGCAAAGCAACAAUUUUGAUUUAAUUUAAUUUAAUCCUUUACGCAUAUUUUAUCUAUCGAAUUAUUAAAAAAACACUUUUAUGAUUUCCUUUAGGUUCAGGUUUCAGUUCAAUUCAUUUCUCUGCACAAUGCACAUCUACAUUAUAUACACUGGUAUCUGUUAAAGGGACUGCUAGCUUAAUUUCAAGUCAAUAUCUAAGUUGGAAAAGCCUGAUUCAUAAUGAUACCCUUAAAAGCUUUGUCAAAUCUAGUAUGGAUAUAAGAUUUUAAUAUAAGUGAACUGCAGU